rnacentral:rRNA from 1 species
CAUGCAAGUCGAGCGGGGGAAGGUAGCUUGCUACUGGACCUAGCGGCGGACGGGUGAGUAAUACUUAGGAAUCUGCCUAUUAGUGGGGGACAACGUUCCGAAAGGAGCGCUAAUAUCGCAUACGCCCUACGGGGGAAAGCAGGGGAUCUUCGGACCUUGCGCUAAUAGAUGAGCCUAAGUCGGAUUAGCUAGUUGGUGGGGUAAAGGCUUACCAAGGCGACGAUCU